rnacentral:rRNA from 1 species
CAGGCUUAACACAUGCAAGUCGAGGGGCAGCACAGGUAGCAAUACCGGGUGGCGACCGGCGCACGGGUGAGUAACGCGUAUGCAACUUACCUAUCAGAGGGGGAUAACCCGGCGAAAGUCGGACUAAUACCGCAUGAAGCAGGGGCCCGCAUGGGGAUAUUUGCUAAAGAUUCAUCGCUGAUAGAUAGGCAUGCGUUCCAUUAGGCAGUUGGCGGGGUAACGGCCCACCAAACCGACGAUGGAUAGGGGUUCUGAGAGGAAGGUCCCCCACAUUGGUACUGAGACACGGACCAAACUCCUACGGGAGGCAGCAGUGAGGAAUAUUGGUCAAUGGCCGAGAGGCUGAACCAGCCAAGUCGCGUGAGGGAUGAAGGUUCUAUGGAUCGUAAACCUCUUUUAUAAGGGAAUAAAGUGCGGGACGUGUCCCGUUUUGUAUGUACCUUAUGAAUAAGGAUCGGCUAACUCCGUGCCAGCAGCCGCGGUAAUACGGAGGAUCCGAGCGUUAUCCGGAUUUAUUGGGUUUAAAGGGUGCGUAGGCGGCCUUUUAAGUCAGCGGUGAAAGUCUGUGGCUCAACCAUAGAAUUGCCGUUGAAACUGGGGGGCUUGAGUAUGUUUGAGGCAGGCGGAAUGCGUGGUGUAGCGGUGAAAUGCAUAGAUAUCACGCAGAACCCCGAUUGCGAAGGCAGCCUGCCAAGCCAUUACUGACGCUGAUGCACGAAAGCGUGGGGAUCAAACAGGAUUAGAUACCCUGGUAGUCCACGCAGUAAACGAUGAUCACUAGCUGUUUGCGAUACACUGUAAGCGGCACAGCGAAAGCGUUAAGUGAUCCACCUGGGGAGUACGCCGGCAACGGUGAAACUCAAAGGAAUUGACGGGGGCCCGCACAAGCGGAGGAACAUGUGGUUUAAUUCGAUGAUACGCGAGGAACCUUACCCGGGUUUGAACGCAUUCGGACCGAGGUGGAAACACCUUUUCUAGCAAUAGCCGUUUGCGAGGUGCUGCAUGGUUGUCGUCAGCUCGUGCCGUGAGGUGUCAGCUUAAGUGCCAUAACGAGCGCAACCCUUGCCACUAGUUACUAACAGGUAAAGCUGAGGACUCUGGUGGGACUGCCAGCGUAAGCUGCGAGGAAGGCGGGGAUGACGUCAAAUCAGCACGGCCCUUACAUCCGGGGCGACACACGUGUUACAAUGGCGUGGACAAAGGGAAGCCACCUGGCGACAGGGAGCGAAUCCCCAAACCACGUCUCAGUUCGGAUCGGAGUCUGCAACCCGACUCCGUGAAGCUGGAUUCGCUAGUAAUCGCGCAUCAGCCAUGGCGCGGUGAAUACGUUCCCGGGCCUUGUACACACCGCCCGUCAAGCCAUGGGAGCCGGGGGUGCCUGAAGUCCGUAACCGAAAGGAUCGGCCUAGGGUAAAACUGGUGACUGGGGC